GACGAACGCUGGCGGCGUGCUUAACACAUGCAAGUCGAACGGAAAGGCCCUGCUUUUGUGGGGUGCUCGAGUGGCGAACGGGUGAGUAACACGUGAGUAACCUGCCCUUUACUUUGGGAUAACUUCAGGAAACUGGGGCUAAUACCGGAUAGGAGCUCCUGCUGCCUGGUGGGGGUUGGAAAGUUUCGGCGGUUGGGGAUGGACUCGCGGCUUAUCAGCUUGUUGGUGGGGUAGUGGCUUACCAAGGCUUUGACGGGUAGGCGGCCUGAGAGGGUGACCGGCCACAUUGGGACUGAGAUACGGCCCACACUCCUACGGGAGGCAGCAGUGUGGAAUUUUGCACAAUGGGCGGAAGCCUGAUGCAGCAACGCCGCGGGCGGGAUGACGGCCUUCGGGUUGUAAACCGCUUUCGCCUGUGACGAAGCGAGAGUGACGGUAAUGGGUAAAGAAGCACCGGCUAACUACGUG
rnacentral:rRNA from 1 species